GACGAACGCUGGCGGCGUGCCUAAUACAUGCAAGUGGAACGCUGAAGGAGGAGCUUGCUUCUCUGGAUGAGUUGCGAACGGGUGAGUAACGCGUAGGUAACCUGCCUGGUAGCGGGGGAUAACUAUUGGAAACGAUAGCUAAUACCGCAUAAGAGUAGAUGUUGCAUGACAUUUGCUUAAAAGGUGCAAUUGCAUCACUACCAGAUGGACCUGCGUUGUAUUAGCUAGUUGGUGAGGUAACGGCUCACCAAGGCAACGAUACAUAGCCGACCUGAGAGGGUGAUCGGCCACACUGGGACUGGGACACGGCCCAGACUCCUACGGGAGGCAGCAGUAGGGAAUCUUCGGCAAUGGACGGAAGUCUGACCGAGCAACGCCGCGGGAGUGAAGAAGGUUUUCGGAUCGUAAAGCUCUGUUGUAAGAGAAGAACGAGUGUGAGAGUGGAAAGUUCACACUGUGACGGUAUCUUACCAGAAAGGGACGGCUAACUACGUG
rnacentral:rRNA from 1 species